rnacentral:lncRNA from 1 species
CUGUCAGAGAAGCGUGCUCUGCACAGAGCCGGGUUGAUUCCAUACGGGUGUGGUACAGAGCUCAUCAGCAGGCUAUGAGACGUCAUCCUCUUUAUUUUUGUUGAGAAGCUUGCCCACCUGCUUCCAGAUUUCCUGCUGACACGCCUUCGUAUCGAUUAUAUAUUUAGAACUAUCAGAAACAAUGUGUGUUGAGGACAUCUUUAAGUGAAGAAGACAACAAGGAAGAACUUCAUUUUUUCCCAGUUUCUUUUCAAAUAAUAGAAACUAUGACUUUAUUAGGUACGACUCUUUCAGACACUGUGGGGAAUAGAAAAAGAUCAUAAGAGAUAGCCCUGGCUGUAGGGAGUGAUGGGACUGGUCAAUAAUUGUUGAGCAUU